rnacentral:lncRNA from 1 species
UAAGGAUGUCAGAUUUUAUAGGAAAAGUUUUCAAGGAUUCCCUCUUAUCCCUCUAACGGGGAUUUCGACGAUCAGUUUGUCAUCUUUUUAAUAUGAAUCUGAAACAGAGAAGCAGAAAAAAAAAAAACACCAUUACAUUUUUAAGGAGAUUGCAGUCCUCUCAACAAUAGGAAGUAGCUGUUUUCAGCACUAGCCAAAAUUUCGAGCUUCAGACACACUGAAGGAAUAAAGAAAUCUCACAUGUGCAGUUUUUAUUUUUAGAAGAUUAUUCCAUCUCUCACCUCAUUCAGAAUUGCCCAGACUGCUGAAUUCUGUAUUACUGAAAGCCGGAAUGAUGAAAUGGGGUUUAGGCUGGGGUCAACCGUUCCUUCAGCUACACCGUUUUCAAACUUCCCUAUUCUGAAGUAACCAUCCUCUAAGCGUUUGUCUUUGGUUUCUUUGCUUAGUACCAGUUCUUCAUUCUGAAAGGGCAAAACUUCCACGGUUGUGUUUAAAAGUAUAUCUCCUGGAUGCUCUGGAUUGCCACUGUGGAACAAGUACCUUUCUACAUUGACAGGCUUGUCAAAUUUAAAUAGAAUAUAAUCC